GUGCCCGUAGCUCAACUGGCCAGAGCGCCGCCCUGUCGAGGCGGAGGUCGCCGGUUCGAUCCCGGUCGGGCGCG
rnacentral:tRNA from 1 species